CACGUAGUUAGCCGGUGCUUCUUAUACAGGUACCGUCACAAAAACGCUUCGUCCCUGUCGAAAGGAGUUUACAACCCGAAGGCCUUCAUCCCCCACGCGGCGUCGCUGCAUCAGGCUUCCGCCCAUUGUGCAAUAUUCCCCACUGCUGCCUCCCGUAGGAGUCUGGGCCGUAUCUCAGUCCCAAUGUGGCCGUACACCCUCUCAGGCCGGCUACCCGUCGACGCCUUGGUAGGCCAUUACCCCACCAACAAGCUGAUAGGCCGCGAGCUCAUCCCCAACCGCAAAGCUUUCCACCUUCCACACUAAAGAAAGGUCAUAUCCGGUAUUAGACCCAGUUUCCCAGGCUUAUCCCAAAGUUGAGGGCAGAUCACCCACGUGUUACUCACCCGUUCGCCACUCGAGUACCCGCAGCAAGCUGCAGGCCUUUCCGUUCGACUUGCAUGUGUUAAGCACGCCGCCAGCGUUCGUCCUGAGCCACGGAGUCAACUAC
rnacentral:rRNA from 1 species